rnacentral:rRNA from 1 species
CCUACGGGAGGCAGCAGUGAGGAAUAUUGGUCAAUGGGCGAGAUCCUGAACCAGCCAAGCCGCGUGAAGGAUGACGGCCCUAUGGGUUUUAAACUUCUUUUAUAGGGGAAUAAAGCGCCCCACGUGUGGCGGAUUGCGUGUAUCCUAAGAAUAAGCAUCGGCUAAUUCCGUGCCAGCAGCCGCGGUAAUACGGAGGAUGCGAGCGUUAUCCGGAUUUAUUGGGUUUAAAGGGUGCGUAGGCGGUUCCUUAAGUCAGCGGUAAAAUUGAGGGGCUCAACCGCACCGAGCCGUUGAAACUGGGGGACUUGAGUAUGCGCGGGGUACACGGAAUGCGUGGUGUAGCGGUGAAAUGCAUAGAUAUCGCGAAGAACUCCGAUCGCGAAGGCAGUGUACCGGAGCAAGACUGACGCUGAGGCACGAAAGCGUGGGGAUCGAACAGGAUUAGAUACCCGAGUAGUC